rnacentral:lncRNA from 1 species
GUUGGUGUGCGGUCUUAUUUUAAUGUAAGUAGACGACUUGCCAAAUUUCAUCGCUUUAGGAGGUCAUUUGAUACCCGAACCUUUAAACAUAUAGUGGCACUAUAAUCGGUAAAACCGCAGACGUUUCGGUAUUUAAAAAAAUCUAUCACGGGCUAUUCAAUUCCCUCUCUUCUCUUAGCCCAUGGUGACUCUACAUAGCUCACAACCCACUAACCCCUCCCGAUCCGUCUGUCCGAUUGCUAUCGUAUGGUCGAAAUCGGUGCAAAAAUCCCAAACCAACCUCCUUUCCUAUUUAAGCAUCCCUACAUUGCCUAAAUGGCUAACCCUAGUGCCCAUCUCAAUUUCUGCGCCCCACCAUCCCUAGCCACCACCUAGUGCCUCCUCUCUCCUCGAGCACGCAGGGCCCUACGAGCCCAUUCGGGGCCUGUCCGGGCCCGAACCAACCACAACCGUGCCUGCUAGCCGUGUGCCCCGAGCCCCACCAAGGAACUCCUGUGUGGCUGCCUCCUGCCGGCGCCCCGCCCCGGGCACCGCAUCGUCGCCAGCCUGAGCCACCAGCUCGCGGCGCCGUGCCAUCGACCGAAGCUCCAUGGAGCGCCACGCGCGUUGUCGCGCCGGAGCACCACGCCACUGCACCUCCUUGCCGCCUGGCGUCCCAGAUCGGAGCUCAGCCCCGCCGCCUUCGAGCUCGACCUCACCCUAUACUGCAGCGCCGCCGCCUUGGAGUUCGCCUCCGGCCAUGGAGUUCGCCUCCGACCAUGGAGUUCGCCAGAUCUAGCCAUGCCGGACUCGACCCCCUAUUUCCGCAGUACCCUCACUGGAUCGGGACCAUCCUCGUUGCUGCCUUGUCAGUUCGCCUCGAUCGGGAGGAGCAGGAUGGCUUCGCCAGCGCGCCCGUGCUUGGGUCACCCAGCUCCAUCGACCUGCCCAGCCCAGCGAAUCCGUGGCCAACAACCGCUGGCCUGCCCGACAUCGUCCAAAGCCAAGGCCCAGGACUAGGGCGAGCUCCCCCAUCUAUCCCUUUCCACGUGUGUAAUGUAGUUAUGUCAUGCUCGAUCUGCUGAUUAGACCAUUAGACAGAUUCGGCCCAACAUGUUUUUCCUGCUCCGUGCGAAUUUUGCCAAUUACCCAUGUCAUUUUAGAUUUUCAGAAAAAUGCAUGAUUUCAAAAUACCAAUAAUGAAAUAAUAAUGCUUCGGAAUUAAACAAACUUAAUAUGUAAAAUGUUUAGAAUUUUGUGUAGAUUAUCAAUAUCCCACUUUCAUGCAUGAUGAAAAUGUUUAACUUACUGUUUUC